AUACUGCCAUAUGGUUUGCAUGCCAGUAAACAUAGCCAAAAUUAUGUUUUACUGCAACUCCAGUGUAUUGAAGGUUUACAAAAUCACCUGUUCAGCUCACUUCGCCGUCCUGUGGAAAGAGCGUAGACUAUGCGCAGUGCCUGUAGCAAACUGACCCUCGUGAACAAGCGGAACUUUUUAAACUGGGUGGAAUUUUCCACAGCGACACUCGAUGACGUAGAGAUUUUGUGUGGCUGGUUGUUUGGUCAAGCAACAGACAGAUUUAUUUCAGCCGUUGAUACUUAGCUAGCUAGUUUAAAACUCGACGUUUUCAUCUACAUUUAAUUCUAUAUUUAACAAUUUGCUAGGUUCCUCUACGAAAAUUGAAUUGAAACAUUUAAAUGUUAUCUCGAAAUUGAUUGAAUUUCAUUACAUAAUCUAGUUUACGAGCAGAAUCGGAUUCCUAGCGCCGAGUCGACUGAAUUCAACGUAAAUUCGCAUUACGAUGCACUCCAAGAAGACCGAUGGGAAGGAUUCACAUGUUCAAAUGGCCCAGGCCCCUCUGAGUGAAGGGUUAAGUUUGAUCUUUGAUCAGGAUGCCCAAUCCAGCUCUUCCUGUUCUCGUUACCCAUCUAGUCGUAGUCAUACCAGUAGCCAGUCCUCUGGCUCUAGACGACAACUUAAGGGAAAUAAUGCUCGUAGGGGACGUCACAGGUCCUCCACCAGUUCUUCGUCCUCCAGAUCAUCCCACUCAUCCAACAGCAGCCCUCGCACCCGUCCCAGGUCCCGGUCACACCCGCGCUGCCACAGAGCCUCCUCCAGCUCACGCUGCUGCCGUCAACAUCAACAGGCACAUGGACAUAGGCGCCACCGCUCACCAUCACGCUGUUACAGGGCCCACUCGCGCUCCUACAGCCCUUCCUCUUCCCCAGACAGGCCAAACCGCCACAGUUCCCGCUCCAGGUCAGCCAGCUGGAGCAGGGUUCAUAGGGGGUUUGAGGGCAGGUACAAGUGCAGGUUUUCUGGAUCACCCAACAGAAGCCACAAGACCUACACGAGCCGCUCCACAUCUUCAGGACGCUCAUUUGUCAGCCUCCGUAUAGAGAAAAAGGGGGAACUCGGGACUACGAAUGCCACCCAGGCGCUGGGGAUGGAGCAACUGGACCUUCCUGAGAGUGUGACGUCCAUCCUGGAGGAGCAGCAACUGAAAACCGGACUAGCCACACCAGAACCAGAGGAACGGGUGAGACCAGAGCCACUCCCUCAAAAGAGUCUAUCACAGGUGGGUGUUCAGGGAGAUUUGAUCAUGGUGAACAUACUGUCUAUGAACAUGACACACACAGAAGAAGCCUAGCAAUUGAAAUUGCUCAAAGUUCAGUUGUUGACGUCAUAACCGCACCACCUAGGCCAUUUUAAAACACAGUCUGUAGAUCUUUCCCUACCAUGUAGUCUGAACUUCUUCUGUGAAACUGCUUGUCUGUUAACCUUGCACCUGUCAGAGAACACACUUGCUCUGUUUGUAUUUAUUCCUGUUUUUGUAGAUCUCAUGAGUUGUCUUCUCUCCACGGCCCCUCGGAUUAGGAGAAUAAGAGGGCAGUCAUGUGACUUGGGUGAUGUCAUUGCGUUUGCGUGAAAAGGUUAUCUGAUUAAUCUUAUCAUGCUCACAAUGCCAAUGCAAGUCCAGUAGCAGGAAUGGAUUGUUUUGUCCAGCAAUGGUACACUUAAAUUAUCUCACUGACUUCAUGGUUUACCAAUUCAGUUUGUAAUGUCCCAAUUCCUCACCUAUGCUAUUUUCUCACACAGAUGGAUAGAUACAAUUAAAACAUACUGACAAUACUCCACAUUGAUAGAAAUACAUUUUUAGAACUCUGAAUAUGUGUGUUUACUUACAGUUGAAAUGGGAACAUUGUUAUUUAGCAGAGUCUCCCUCCUACUCUCUGAAGAAGCGCAGGCGUUUGGACUGCGUUAUUGUGACUAUUCCUGACAGGAGAACUUUAAACAGAUGGCCAACUCCCUCCGUCCCUAUGCCAAAGAUAAGUUGGUAAUACACAAGUGGUGUUCUGGAUGGGGUUUGGAAAACUGCACCAUCAUGCCACUCAAAGGAUUUUUCCUUCUAUAGUGUUUUGUUUGUUCUUAAAGCUACCCUUGUAAAAAUCACAUAAUGAACAGAUGCCUAGCUUUGCCAUCAAUGAAGCACGGGUGCAUGGGAACUGCAGUUUGUUGAAACUAUAGACAAGUGAGCUAUUUCUCAUCUAGGAGAAUGUAUUUGUGUUGAUGGGGAGACCUGAAAUCAGCUGAUCUGAUUUUUACUCAACUGUUUUCUCUUUGCAGCAGAACAGUGACAUAGAGCCUGAGGAUGCACCAAGCCCUAAUAUGUCUCCCAAGAAAAAGAUGAUCUCAUUCAGUAUUCAUAAUUCAGUGGCCAAGCCCACAGCCAUUGUUGCUUCCACCACAUCAAAGGUAGCACACAGAGUGGAGAACUACACAGCGAGCAGGAACCCCUUUGGUCACUGGGUCCCAGUCAGAAAAACGGUCCAAUCCUCCUUUUCUCGCACUUUGCUCAAACACUAACUUGCCACAUCACGCUAAUGUGUCAAGAGUACAUGGACAAUGUAAAUACUGUAUCAUUUCUACAGGGGAGGUUUUGGUGAUCUGAUCUUAUGGUAGAUGAUUUCUUUCAGAUUUGAGUUAAGUGGGAAGAACAGAAUAUUUCAGAUGGGGUUACUUUUUUGGUGUCUAAUGCUGGUUAGUGAUUCAAUAAAGACACUUGAAAUUAAA